rnacentral:rRNA from 1 species
CCUUCUGGCGGCGGAAGCAAUCAAACUGAAGGGUUUGAUCCUGGCUCAGAAUGAACGUUGGCGGCGUGGAUUAGGCAUGCAAGUCGUGCGG